rnacentral:rRNA from 1 species
AGAGUUUGAUCCUGGCUCAGGAUGAACGCUGGCGGCGUGCUUAACACAUGCAAGUCGAACGGGAUCCAUCAAGCUUGCUUGGUGGUGAGAGUGGCGAACGGGUGAGUAAUGCGUGACCGACCUGCCCCAUGCUCCGGAAUAGCUCCUGGAAACGGGUGGUAAUGCCGGAUGUUCCACAUGAUCGCAUGUGAUUGUGGGAAAGAUUUCAUCGGCGUGGGAUGGGGUCGCGUCCUAUCAGCUUGUUGGUGAGGUAACGGCUCACCAAGGCUUCGACGGGUAGCCGGCCUGAGAGGGCGACCGGCCACAUUGGGACUGAGAUACGGCCCAGACUCCUACGGGAGGCAGCAGUGGGGAAUAUUGCACAAUGGGCGCAAGCCUGAUGCAGCGACGCCGCGUGAGGGAUGGAGGCCUUCGGGUUGUAAACCUCUUUUGUUUGGGAGCAAGCCUUCGGGUGAGUGUACCUUUCGAAUAAGCGCCGGCUAACUACGUGCCAGCAGCCGCGGU